GUGCCUCCCUGAAGCACAUACACUAAAUUUGGAAUAAUACAGAGAAAAUGAUAUGCUGAAUUUGGAAAGUGUGGCCCUGUGCAAGGGUAACAUGCAAAUUUGAGAAUAUUCUUUU
rnacentral:snRNA from 1 species